rnacentral:rRNA from 1 species
AGAGUUUGAUCAUGGCUCAGAUUGAACGCUGGCGGCAGGCCUAACACAUGCAAGUCGAACGGUAACAGGAAACAGCUUGCUGUUUCGCUGACGAGUGGCGGACGGGUGAGUAAUGUCUGGGAAACUGCCUGAUGGAGGGGGAUAACUACUGGAAACGGUAGCUAAUACCGCAUAACGUCGCAAGACCAAAGAGGGGGACCUUCGGGCCUCUUGCCAUCAGAUGUGCCCAGAUGGGAUUAGCUAGUAGGUGGGGUAACGGCUCACCUAGGCGACGAUCCCUAGCUGGUCUGAGAGGAUGACCAGCCACACUGGAACUGAGACACGGUCCAGACUCCUACGGGAGGCAGCAGUGGGGAAUAUUGCACAAUGGGCGCAAGCCUGAUGCAGCCAUGCCGCGUGUAUGAAGAAGGCCUUCGGGUUGUAAAGUACUUUCAGCGGGGAGGAAGGGAGUAAAGUUAAUACCUUUGCUCAUUGACGUUACCCGCAGAAGAAGCACCGGCUAACUCCGUGCCAGCAGCCGCGGUAAUACGGAGGGUGCAAGCGUUAAUCGGAAUUACUGGGCGUAAAGCGCACGCAGGCGGUUUGUUAAGUCAGAUGUGAAAUCCCCGGGCUCAACCUGGGAACUGCAUCUGAUACUGGCAAGCUUGAGUCUCGUAGAGGGGGGUAGAAUUCCAGGUGUAGCGGUGAAAUGCGUAGAGAUCUGGAGGAAUACCGGUGGCGAAGGCGGCCCCCUGGACGAAGACUGACGCUCAGGUGCGAAAGCGUGGGGAGCAAACAGGAUUAGAUACCCUGGUAGUCCACGCCGUAAACGAUGUCGACUUGGAGGUUGUGCCCUUGAGGCGUGGCUUCCGGAGCUAACGCGUUAAGUCGACCGCCUGGGGAGUACGGCCGCAAGGUUAAAACUCAAAUGAAUUGACGGGGGCCCGCACGAGCGGUGGAGCAUGUGGUUUAAUUCGAUGCAACGCGAAGAACCUUACCUGGUCUUGACAUCCACGGAAGUUUUCAGAGAUGAGAAUGUGCCUUCGGGAACCGUGAGACAGGUGCUGCAUGGCUGUCGUCAGCUCGUGUUGUGAAAUGUUGGGUUAAGUCCCGCAACGAGCGCAACCCUUAUCCUUUGUUGCCAGCGGUCCGGCCGGGAACUCAAAGGAGACUGCCAGUGAUAAACUGGAGGAAGGUGGGGAUGACGUCAAGUCAUCAUGGCCCUUACGACCAGGGCUACACACGUGCUACAAUGGCGCAUACAAAGAGAAGCGACCUCGCGAGAGCAAGCGGACCUCAUAAAGUGCGUCGUAGUCCGGAUUGGAGUCUGCAACUCGACUCCAUGAAGUCGGAAUCGCUAGUAAUCGUGGAUCAGAAUGCCACGGUGAAUACGUUCCCGGGCCUUGUACACACCGCCCGUCACACCAUGGGAGUGGGUUGCAAAAGAAGUAGGUAGCUUAACCUUCGGGAGGGCGCUUACCACUUUGUGAUUCAUGACUGGGGUGAAGUCGUAACAAGGUAACCGUAGGGGAACCUGCGGUUG